AUUAUGUAAUAUGCCUCAGGCAGUGGCAGAAACCUAGGCUGAAAUAACCAGCACUACUUGCCAAACACUUUAGAAAGAUUAUGUUUCUUCUCCAUUACAGAAGUGGAACAUAUGGUUCAGGAAUUUACCCUAAAGGCAAACUACAGAGGUUAAGCAUGUGAUGCAGGGGCCAAAAUUGUGAGUUCAAAUGCCAACAUGUUUACUUACUAACUUCAUGACCUCACAAACUUGCUUCAACUUUCUGUAACUUUGUCUGCUUAUCUAUAAAACAAUACGUACCUCAACGUCUGGUUAAAAGUUUCAAUUGGCAUAAUAUAUAUAAAGCUCUUAGAAGACUGCCUGGAACAGUUUGCAGCAAGAUCCUCCCAGGAAAGUGAAGCGGAGAAAAUGGAGGUAGAAACUAUUCUCCUCAUUAAACUACCUGCCCUCUGUAAUGUAGCUCUUCUGUGCUGCAGAAAUUGAUACUACACAAGAAAAGAAAUGAUGGGAGAAUAGUGAAGAAGAGAAGAACUGGCCAGGUAGCAACAUAUAAGAGGCCAAGGGCCGGGCGCAGUGGCUCACACCUGUAAUCCAAACACUUUGGGAGGCCAAGGCGG
rnacentral:lncRNA from 10 species